rnacentral:rRNA from 1 species
UUCAAGCAUAUCAAUAAGCGGAGGAAAAGAAACUAACAAGGAUUCCCCCAGUAAUGGCGAAUGAAGCGGGAAGAGCUCAAAUUUGGAAUCUCCGUCGCCGUCGCGACGGCGAAUUGUAGUCUCGAGAGGCGCCGUCAGGGCGAUCGAGCCGGGCCCGCCCAGGUUGCCUGGAACGGCACGCCGGAGAGGGUGACAGCCCCGUCGACGGCGGGCCCCGGCGCGCCGACGAGGCGCCCUCCAAGAGUGGGUUGCUUGGG